AGCGAACGCUGGCGGCAUGCCUAACACAUGCAAGUCGCACGGGGGGGGCUUCGGCCUCCCAGUGGCGGACGGGUGAGGAACGCGUAGGGACCUGUCGAGGGGUGGGGGAUAACCGCGGGAAACUGCGGCUAAUACCGCAUGACGCCGCGGCGUGACAGCCGGGGCCAAAGGCGAAAGCCGCCCGCCGAGGGGCCUGCGUCCGAUUAGCUGGUUGGCGGGGUAGCGGCCCACCAAGGCGUCGAUCGGUAGCUGGUCUGAGAGGGUGAUCAGCCACACCGGGACUGAGACACGGCCCGGACUCCUACGGGAGGCAGCAGUGGGGAAUAUUGGACAAUGGGCGCAAGCCUGAUCCAGCAAUGCCGCGUGGGUGAAGAAGGUCUUCGGAUUGUAAAGCCCUUUCGGCGGGGACGAUGGUGACGGUACCCGCAGAAGAAGCCCCGGCUAACUUCGUG
rnacentral:rRNA from 1 species